CAGCCGCCGCGGGAAUACGUAGGGUGCGAGCGUUAAUCGGAAUUACUGGGCGUAAAGCGUGCGCAGGCGGUUCGUUAAGACAGAUGUGAAAUCCCCGGGCUUAACCUGGGAACUGCAUUUGUGACUGGCGAGCUAGAGUAUGGCAGAGGGGGGUAGAAUUCCACGUGUAGCAGUGAAAUGCGUAGAGAUGUGGAGGAAUACCGAUGACGAAGGCAGCCCCCUGGGCCAAUACUGACGCUCAUGCACGAAAGCGUGGGGAGCAAACAGGAUUAGAUACCCCUGUAGUCCCUGUCUCUUAUAC
rnacentral:rRNA from 1 species